CCCGCUGAACUUAAGCAUAUCAAUAAGCGGAGGAAAAGAAACCAACCGGGAUUGCCUUAGUAACGGCGAGUGAAGCGGCA
rnacentral:rRNA from 16 species